CCUACGGGUGGCAGCAGUGGGGAAUAUUGGACAAUGGGCGAAAGCCUGAUCCAGCCAUGCCGCGUGUGUGAAGAAGGCCUUCGGGUUGUAAAGCACUUUCAGUGGGGAAGAAAGCCUUGGGGCUAAUACCCUCGAGGAAGGACAUCACCCACAGAAGAAGCACCGGCUAACUCCGUGCCAGCAGCCGCGGUAAUACGGAGGGUGCGAGCGUUAAUCGGCAUUACUGGGCGUAAAGCGCGCGUAGGCGGUCUGAUAAGCCGGUUGUGAAAGCCCCGGGCUCAACCUGGGAACGGCAUCCGGAACUGUCAGGCUAGAGUGCAGGAGAGGAAGGUAGAAUUCCCGGGGUAGCGGUGAAAUGCGUAGAGAUCGGGAGGAAUACCAGUGGCGAAGGCGGCCUUCUGGACUGACACUGACGCUGAGGUGCGAAAGCGUGGGUAGCAAACAGGAUUAGAUACCCUGGUAGUC
rnacentral:rRNA from 1 species